rnacentral:rRNA from 7 species
GGUGAACCAGCGGAGGGAUCAUUAC